AUUCCAGCUCCAAUAGUGUAUAUUAAAGUUGUUGCAGUUAAAAAGCUCGUAGUUGGAUUUCUGGCGGGAGCGAUCGGUCCUUCACUCAGUGUUGGAACCUGAUUGUCUCCUGCCAUCCAUGGAGAAAACUUAUCUGGCAUUAAGUUGUCGGGUAGGCAAUCUCCAUCUUUUACUGUGAAAAAAUUAGAGUGUUCAAAGCAGGCUUAUGCCGUUGAAUAUAUUAGCAUGGAAUAAUAAGAUAGGACUAUGGUACUAUUUUGUUGGUUUGUGCACCAUGGUAAUGAUUAAUAGGGAUAGUUGGGGGUAUUCAUAUUUAAUUGUCAGAGGUGAAAUUCUUGGAUUUAUGAAAGAUGGACUUAUGCGAAAGCAUUUACCAAGGAUGUUUUCAUCA
rnacentral:rRNA from 1 species